rnacentral:rRNA from 1 species
GGCUCAGGACGAACGCUGGCGGCGUGCCUAAUACAUGCAAGUCGAACGCAUUUUCUUUCACCGUAGCUUGCUACACCGAAAGAAAAUGAGUGGCGAACGGGUGAGUAACACGUGGGUAACCUGCCCAUCAGCGGGGGAUAACACUUGGAAACAGGUGCUAAUACCGCAUAAUUCCAUYUACCGCAUGGUAGAUGGAUGAAAGGCGCUUUUGCGUCACUGAUGGAUGGACCCGCGGUGCAUUAGCUAGUUGGUGGGGUAACGGCCUACCAAGGCUGCGAUGCAUAGCCGACCUGAGAGGGUGAUCGGCCACACUGGGACUGAGACACGGCCCAGACUCCUACGGGAGGCAGCAGUAGGGAAUCUUCGGCAAUGGACGCAAGUCUGACCGAGCAACGCCGCGUGAGUGAAGAAGGUUUUCGGAUCGUAAAACUCUGUUGUUAGAGAAGAACAAGGAUGAGAGUGGAAAGU